rnacentral:piRNA from 1 species
AAUCUAGCUUGACGAGUCUACAGACAUUGCA